rnacentral:SRP_RNA from 1 species
GCCAGGCAUGGUGACAAGUGCCUGUAGUCUCAGCUACUCAGGAGGCUGAAGUGGGAGAAUCACUUGAGCUCCGUAGUUCUGGACUGUAGUGCACUAUGUGGAUUGGAUGUCCACACUAAGUUCAGCAUCAAUAUGGUGACCUCCCAAGAGAGGCAGACACCAAAUUGCCUAAGGAGAGGUGAACUGGUCCAGGUUGGAAACAGAGCAGGUCAGAACUCCCGGUGCUGAUCAGUGGGAUCACACCUUUGAAUAGUCCCUGUAUUCCAGCCUGGGUAACACAGCAAGAUUCCAUCUCU